CACGUAGGGGGCUAGCGUUGUCCGGAAUCAUUGGGCGUAAAGCGCGUGUAGGCGGCCAGAUAAGUCCGGUGUGAAAGUCAAAGGCUCAACCUUUGAAUGCCGCUGGAAACUGUCUGGCUAGAGUCCGGAAGGGGCGAGUGGAACUCCUGGUGUAGCGGUGAAAUGCGCAGAUAUCAGGAGGAACACCCAUGGCGAAGGCAGGUUACUGGGCAUUAUCUGACGCUGAGGCGCGAAAGCGUGGGUAGCAAACAGG
rnacentral:rRNA from 1 species